GACGUCUCCACGCUGUGGGGACCCCAGGCUUGUGCAGACAUCUGUGGGAAUCCAAAGAUGGCGUGAUACGGAGAAGUCAGAAUGUGGCCAAGCAUCCUAAAUCCAUCGUCUGCGUCCCCUCUAGUGUGUUUUGUAUCAGUGUCAGGAAGAAUUAGCACUAACGUUUGGAUGUUGAUUUUAUCCACACCAGGAAGAAAAAGUAGCCAACGACGUUGUGAAGGAGAUACUAUCAUAUCCUUUAACAGCCCUGGUGAUGUUCGCUGCUCUGCACAGCACACGGUGACUACAUCCCAGAUCCAGAGCUGCGGAACUCUGGGGCCACGUCUCCAGCGCCGCAUUCGGCGGCACACGGAGGCCUGAGAAGGCGGGAGGGGUCAGUCUCUGGCUUCGAGUAGCAGCAAUACCAGGACAACCAUAGCUGAGUCAUGUCAAGAUGAACCAUAUGGCAUUACCAUUUUUUCACAGGUCAGGGCAAAGAAUACUGGUGAAUUCAUGGGUUUC
rnacentral:lncRNA from 1 species